AUUAUUACACUUUAAGGUGAGAUGUGGGUGAGGACACAGCCAAACUGAAUCAGAGCUUCUAGUUUUAAGUGGUGUCCAGAACAAGAGAAGGCCCUGCAGCAAGUCCAGCCUGCUGUGAGAGCUAUUCUGCCACUUGGGCUAUAUAAUUCAGCACAUCCUAUGGUGUCAAAGUAUCAACUGCAGAUAGGGAUAUUGUUUGGAGACUUUGGCAGGACCCUAUAAAGAAACCAUAGUGCAAGACUUGAGGAUUUUGGAGUAAGGUUAUGCUGUCAUUCACAGAUAACUACUCUCCCUCUGAGAGUCAGCUCUUGGCCAGCUAUUGAGCCUUUAUAGAGACUGAAUGGCUGACCAUGAACCACCAUGUUAUCAUAUGUCCUGAGCUGCUCAUCAUGAAUUGGUGGCUACCUGACCCACAAAGCCAUAAAGUUGAGAGUACAUAGCAACACUCGUCCAUCAAAUGGAUGUGACUGGGGCUAAGCAGGUCCUGAAGGCACAGGUAAGUGACAUUAAGAAGUGGCCCAAAUGCCCAUGAUCCCCACUCCUGCUACACUUCCUGCUCUCUGCCAGCCUGCAGCUAUGAAGUCAUUAAAAAAUUCCCUAUGAGCAGUUGACAGAGGAAGAGAAGACUCAGCCUGGUUUACAGAGGAUUCUGCAAAAUAUGCAGGCAUAACACAAAAAGGGACAACUGCACCCCUAUAGCCCCUCUCAGGGAUAUCCCUGAAGGACAGUGGUGAAUGAAAAUCCUCCCAGUGGACAGAACUUCAACCAUUCCACCUGAUGAUUCACUUUUCUUAGAAAGAGAAAUGGCUAGAGAGGUGAUUACCUGCCAAUUCAUGGUCUGUAGCGAGUGUUCUUCUUUUUCUGGAUGAUCAGAAACUUAGAAAGGACACAUGGAAAAAUUGGUGACAAAAAAUUUGGGGAAGAGAGAUGUGGGCACACCUCUAUGAAUAAGCAAAAAAUAAUGGAUAUAUUGUAUUUCAUGUGAAUGCUCACCAAAGGGUGAGCUUGGCAGAGAAGGAUUUUAACAUUAAAGUGGAUGGAAUGACCCAUUGUGUGGAUGAAUACAAAUCAGUCUCUUUCUCCAGCCAACUUUGUCAUUUCCCACUGGGCUCAGGAACAAAGAGGCCAUGGUAGCAAGGAUGGAAGUUACGCAUGGGCUCAGAAACAUGGACUUCCACUCAACAAGGCUAACCGGACUGUAGAAAACUGAGUGUCUAAUCUCCCAAUGGCAGAGACCAACACCUGGCUCCUAAUAUGACACCAUUCCCUGGGGUGAUUAGCCAACACCUGGUAGCAGGCUGAUUGAUUACCUUAGAAAACAUCUGUCAUGAAAGGGGCAGUAUUUUGCCCUUCCUGGAAUAGAUGCUCUGAAUAUGGAUUUGCCUUUCUUGCACACCACAACUACCAUCUGUGAACUUAACUCACUGGCUUGUCCAUUUUCAUAGUCUUCCAGAUCACAUUGCUUUUGAUGAAGGAACUCACUUCACAGCAAGGGAAGUGCAGCAAUAGGGCCAGGAACAUGAAAAUCAUUGGUCUUACUAUGUUUUCCACCAUUCUGAAGCUUCUGGCCUGAUACAUUGAUGGAAUUGUCUUUUGAAGACUCAGUUACAGUGCCACCUAGGUGGCAAUACCUUGCAGGAAUGGUUCUCCAGAAGGCUGUAUAUGGUCUGAAUCAGGGUCAAAUAUAUGAUGCUAUUUAUGUGGUAGCCAGAAUUCAUGGGUCCAGGAAUCAAAGAAUGGAAGUGGGAGUGGCAUCAUUCACUACUGCGCCUAGUGACUCACAAGCAAAAUGUUUACUUCCUGUUUCCAUGACAUUAUGCUCUGCUGGCCUAGACGUCUUAGUUCCAGAGGAUGGAAUGCUUCACCAGGAGACACAAGAAUAAUUUCCUUGACCUGGGAGUUAAGACUGCCACCCAGCCACCUUGUGCUCUCCAUGCUGCUGAUUCAACAGGCAAAUAAGGAAGUUAUGGUGUGGGCUACAGUGAUUGAUCUGACUAACAAGAGGGAAAUUGCUCCACCAUGGGGGUGAGGGAGAGUACAUCUGGAAUACAGAAGUUCCCUUAGGACACCCUUAGUGUUCCCACACAUUGCGAUUAAGGCCAGUGGAAAACUACAAUAACUCAGUUCAGGCGGAACAACUCAUGGGGCAGAAUCUUCAAGGAAUGAAGAUUUGAGUCCUUCUACCAGGUUUUGCAGAGUGCCUCCAGAAAUAAAAGUGUUACAAAAGAAUCACUUCAGAAAACCUACACUUAGAGAGUCCAUUUGAAAAUUGCCCUAUUUGAAAUGAAGUGGAGAUCAGUAAUAACAAGGACUUCCCCAUAUAACCCAAGGUCCUACUGGGUUAGUGUGAUCUUCUGCGGAAGGCUGCAGCUGCUGUCAGGAGGCCCUCUGUCUACACUCCUCUCUGGAGAAGUGUCCCUUUUAAACUGAAGCAUAGUGAGAACAAGUGUAAAGCACAACACAGACGGAAGAUUGCACCUUAGCUCACUGCCCCGUGCACCCCGGUUACACCGUCUAAGAAAACACUCUGGAUUCAAUCCUUGGAAAAUUUGUCUCCAUGAGGUCAUACAGCUGCUUGAGGUUGCUCGGAGAGUAAGAAGCAGAAUGAGAACUAGAACAGAAGCUCACUUUGGCCUGAAGGCUCAUGUGCUGAGCAUCUUCCCUUGUCUGUCUCCACCCCUAGCCUGGUGCCCAGCAUGUAGAAGACCUUCAUCCUAGAUGCAAUGGGAUUAAACUUGGAGAAAAUGGGAUUAAACUUGGACAAACACUACCUAUUUGGACUUGUGAUGAUGGCUUUCAAACUUCUUAAAGCAAUGAAGUAUUUUUUCCAGAAGAAACCUUACACAAGAAGCCCAGCACACUGAGUCAAGCAUAUGUAGGUGGAAGAUAUCUGGUUGAGACCAAGUAGAGAUAAACCUGUAGAUUCAACUGUGCCACCACAGUGAAUUCUAAGAAUCCACUGACUGUGAUCUGUAAGCUCCUACUCCACAGGAGGUCAGGGCACACAGCUUGAAACCGGAAGGCAGAAGAGUGACAGGGAAGGGUCAUGGACUCUGAAAUUAGAGCUAUCUGUGUUUUAAUACUAGUUCCAAUAGGCACAUGGUCUUGGAUAAAUGGUUUAAAUUAUCUGAGUCUCAAUUUCUUUCUCUGCAAAAAGGGAUGAUUAGUACAUAUGUAAUAGGGUUUUUAUAGAAAAUUGUAUAACUUGUUAAACACACAUGUACUAAGUGCUUGGUGCCCAGUAUGCACUGAAUAAAUGCUAGCUCCUUGCCUUUCAUCUCUAUGACCCUUCCCAAAUCUCUCAGCCCCAUAUUGCUUCAUGUAGUGUGUGUAUAUUUGGGAAAAUUUGUGUGCAUAUUUACAGAUGGGAUCCUACUCUUCUAUUGACAGACUGUCUUUUCAGAUGUGCCUUACUUUCAUUGCAUUGGUUUUUCAACUGAAAGUGAACAUAAAGGUUUUAAGCAUGCCUAGGUCUUAUCUUUUUGGUCAAAUAUCUAACACCCUCAAUAACAGUUGUAAAUCAUUCUUUUGUAAUUUGAUCAUUCAUUUUUAUAAAGUAAAACACAACUGCCCACUGUAAAAA
rnacentral:lncRNA from 1 species